UUCCAGCAGGACGAAGUCAUAUGAUGAAAAAGGCAACGACUGUAUCGUAGAUUCAAAAAGAUACGUGCGAGCAUUGAAAAUGAGACCCGUGAAGGUGUUGUAUCCUGAUAGUGAGAGGACAUUUCAAACAUCGAAAAAAAUGUCAGAUCAAAUCGGCACAAGCAGUCUGACAGUUGUGUCCAAAAUGAAGGAGUCCACUGUCAACGACCAUUAAAAAAAGUAGACCACUGAUCGUGUUUUCAGCAAGUGAGUGCCAGAAAUGGCAAAGCAUCCUCAGCGCCGGGAACAUACAACCAAUCUGAAGGACCACCUGGUGACAAAAGAUUGGCGAGUGUGGUGAGUGUGGCUCGCUCCAUGACGUUUCGGGAGCACCAGUUAAGAUCCUGCUAGGGGGGUGCGACGACAUCUGAUCUGCAAUGCACUGGCUGCUGGUGCCAACCCCCCAGAUGGUGUUCUUCAGUUCUGUUCUUCAGUUCACUUUGUGAGCUCCCCUUGGACAAACUGAAGAGGGCCACUCUGGUUAAAGUCACGUUUGAGGAAUAUCAAGACCUUGUAGCGCUAAAGGGAGAUGUUAGGCUCGGGAGAGACGAAGGUUGAAAGUCAUGCGUCCUCCACAACACAACC